ACGACUACAUAUCAGGCAUAUCAAUAAGCGGAGGAAAAGAAACUAACAAGGAUUCCCUUAGUAACGGCGAGUGAAGCGGGAAGAGCUCAAAUUUGAAAUCUUCAAGGUUCUACCUUGACGAAUUGUAGUUUAAAGAAGUGUUUUCUGUUAGAGGAGUAGCAAAAGUUCCUUGGAAUGGGACAUCAUAGAGGGUGAGAAUCCCGUAUUUGGUUAUUCUUUCUAGCUUUGUGAUACACUUUCAAAGAGUCGGAUUGUUUGGGAAUGCAGUCCAAAAUGGGUGGUAAAUUUCAUCUAAAGCUAAAUAUUGGCGAGAGACCGAUAGCGAACAAGUAUCCGUGAGGGAAAGAUGAAAAGAACUUUGAAAAGAGAGUUAAACAGUACGUGAAAUUGUCAAAAGGGAAGCGUUUGACACCAGUGUUGUUUUUCCGAAAUCAAUUAAGAAGGGCUUGAUUUUGUGUUGUAUUGACCUUAUCAGCUUUCUUCACUCUUUUUCGAGUCUUUCUUAAUGCACUUUUCGGUUAACAAGUCAACAUCAAUUUCUUUUGUUGUAAAAGGGUAUUUGGAAGGUGGCUUUCUUUUCGGAGAAAGUGUUUAUAGCCUUAUACCUCUACAAUCGGAGAGAUUGAGGUCUGCAGCGUAGAUCCUUCGGGGCUAGAUACACUUGUGCUAAGUUAUAGCUUUUCAUAGACAACUUGUUGACUAUGUUUAGUCAUGUAGCUUACCCGCUUGUGCUAUUUUACCUACGCUUAGGAUGUUGAUCUACAGAGCGAGAGU
rnacentral:rRNA from 1 species